AGAUGUAAAGCAGAUCAUGUUAAACACUCCUUGAUAAAUGAUUAAACCAAAUGAGCCCUGCUCUAAUGUCUUUGGUUGGGGCGACCGCGGGGGAACAAAAAGCCCCCACGUGGAAAGGGAGGACCCCCCUCCUACAACCAAGAGCUGCUGCUCUAGUUAACAGAAUUUCUGACCAAUAAGAUCCGGCAACGCCGAUCAACGAACCGAGUUACUCUAGGGAUAACAGCGCAAUCCCCUUUUAGAGCCCAUAUCGACAAGGGGGUUUACGACCUCGAUGUUGGAUCAGGACAUCCUAAUGGUGCAGCCGCUAUUAAG
rnacentral:rRNA from 1 species